ACUCCUACGGGAGGCAGCAGUGGGGAAUUUUGGACAAUGGGGGCAACCCUGAUCCAGCCAUGCCGCGUGUGUGAAGAAGGCCUUCGGGUUGUAAAGCACUUUCGGACGGAACGAACUCGCACGAUCUAACAAGUCGUGUGGAUGACGGUACCGUAAGAAGAAGCACCGGCUAACUACGUGCCAGCAGCCGCGGUAAUACGUAGGGUGCGAGCGUUAAUCGGAAUUACUGGGCGUAAAGUGUGCGCAGGCGGCAGAGCAAGUCGAGUGUGAAAGCCCCGGGCUUAACUUGGGAAUGGCGCUCGAAACUACUUUGCUGGAGUGUGGCAGAGGAAGGUGGAAUUCCACGUGUAGCGGUGAAAUGCGUAGAGAUGUGGAGGAACACCAAUGGCGAAGGCAGCCUUCUGGGCCAACACUGACGCUCAUGCACGAAAGCGUGGGGAGCAAACAGGAUUAGAUACCCUGGUAG
rnacentral:rRNA from 1 species